rnacentral:rRNA from 1 species
CACGUAGGCACCAAGCGUUGUCCGGAUUUAUUGGGCGUAAAGAGCUCGUAGGCGGUUCGGUAAGUCGGGUGUGAAAACUUUGGGCUUAACCCAAAGCGUGCAUUCGAUACUGCCGUGACUAGAGUUCGGUAGGGGAGCGGGGAAUUCCUAGUGUAGCGGUGAAAUGCGCAGAUAUUAGGAGGAACACCGGUGGCGAAGGCGCCGCUCUGGGCCGAAACUGACGCUGAGGAGCGAAAGCGUGGGUAGCAAACAGG